CCUANGGGGGGCUGCAGUCGAGAAUAUUCCACAAUGGACGAAAGUCUGAUGGAGCGACGCCGCGUGCAGGAAGAAGGCCCUUGGGUCGUAAACUGCUUUUGUAAGGGAAGAAUGCAAUGACGGUACCUUGCGAAUAAGAGGUUACUAACUCUGUGCCAGCAGUAGCGGUAAUACAGAGACCUCAAGCGUUAUCCGGAUUUAUUGGGCGUAAAGAGCAUGUAGGCGGAUAUAUUAGUCAGAUGUCAAAUCUUCGAGCUCAACUCGAAAACUGCAUUUGAAACGGUAUAUCUAGAGAGAUCGAGAGACCAAUAGAACAUAUGGUGUAGCAGUGAAAUGCGUUGAUAUCAUAUGGAAUACCAAAGGCGAAGGCAUUUGGUUGGCGAUCAUCUGACGCUGAGAUGCGAAAGCGUGGGUAGCGAAUGGGAUUAGAUACCCUGNUANUC
rnacentral:rRNA from 1 species